CCUACGGGGGGCAGCAGUGGGGAAUAUUGGGCAAUGGAGGCGACUCUGACCCAGCAACGCCGCGUGAAUGAUGAAGGUCUUCGGAUUGUAAAGUUCUGUGAUGGGGGAUGAACACAAUGACGGUACCCCAAUAGCAAGCCACGGGUAACUACGUGCCAGCAGCCGCGGUAAUACGUAGGUGGCAAGCGUUAUCCGGAAUGGAUGGGCGUAAAGGGUGCGUAGGUGGUUUAGUAAGUUGGCGGUGUAAUUCCGGGGCGCAACCUCGGCGGUACCGCCAAAACUAUUAGACUAGAGGGCAGGAGGGGUAAGUGGAAGGCCUAGUGUAGCGGUGGAAUGCGUAGAUAUUAGGAGGAACAUCAGGGGCGAAGGCGACUUACUGGACUGGAACUGACACUGAGGCACGAAAGCGUGGGGAGCAAACAGGAUUAGAUACCCGGGUAGUC
rnacentral:rRNA from 1 species